CUGAUGCCAUUUUGGUGUUUUUUCUGUAAACUUUUGAUAUCUAGCAAUGCCUCUGCUUGCUUUUAUUUAAAUGAAAAUCCACGCUAAGCAUACGUAGCACCACAACACCGAGGAGCUGACAGUACUGCUUUGGUGCACCGGAGAUUAAGAAGAAUGAACCAAGAAGUUCAAAUUGCUGUCAGUUCCUGCAUCAAAUCAAAAGCCUACCUAUGUCUGCAUUCACACGGAGGGAGCUGAUUGCUCAGAGUACCAGAAAAGGAGGACAGGACACCCAAAGGAACUUAGAUUAACGUUACCUGCUUGCUGAGAUGGGUGAGUAGAUAAACGUUCCUUGGAAAGGAGCUCUCUGUCUUUCUCACGUUGCUGCUCUGAUCACGGAGUUUCUCAUUGCAGCCUGCUGCCGUGGACGUGAUGGAGGGGCACACAUUGACCUGCCUUCAUUCUGUAUAUCCCCAAGAUGGAGAGAGCGUCGUUAUCGAGGCGUAUCUUUUGAAGCAGUGAAUAAGUAAAGAAAACCACGAGGUGGUAGAGCAGAACAUAGGGAAGGACGGCCCAUCUCCAAGCACCUGAGGCACGUCCUAUUGGUCUUGCUUUAAAGAGAGCCCAUUCCACGUAGCCUGAUGCUCAAAGAGAAGGUAGGAUAACGUGAGGAGAGAGGGUGGGAUGAAGGGAAGGUCAGGUUUUUAGGGUUAACUCUCCAGUCAGCCCUGUUUGUAUGCAUGCAAUCCCAAAUGUAAGACCAAACUCCAGGAGUCAGGGCGCCCAUGCAAAUCUUUGGCUCACACCCUGUCCAUAAGGUGCAGUUACCCCCUAUCCAAUGAAGUGCAUGUUCAUAGCUGCUGUCACACACCACACAGACUUAUCAGAGCCACGAUAUGCACCACAGCUCCCUGCUGUAAGCCAGAAUAUCACACCCUGGGUUGGAUGCAGCGAGCGAAAAGCUCAGGUUUGCCCUCGGAUGAUCAGAGAUCAGCCGUGCUGCCUUGAACUAAUGAGGGCAGAGCAUUGCCCUUUUGUUUAACCCCAUGGCCAGCUGCUGCGUGUGAGAGCAGCACAGAGCAGUGUCUGCUGAGGGCUGAUCUGCAGCCAUAACAUUUUGAACUCCAGCGUGACCUGCCAAAUGGCAUUAGAAAUGAUUGCCAGGGUUACGGGCUGGCUUUGUCAUUGAGUAUUGAUGACACAGACCCAGUGCCAACGGCUGCUAAUAAGUUUUAUUUACCAAACAAGGCAAGCCAUCAUUGAAUCCAUUCAGUUAAUCUCUUAAUGUUGAGUGCGUUCUUGGUACCUCGCGGGGUCACAAAGGGAAAUGCUUCGAGAUGGUGCAGAACUGGAAUAGUAGGGCAGGGAGUGACCUGGUGGUGGUUUGUCUCUAGUGGCAGAGCUCAGGAACUGCUCAGCUGAGGAGAGCUGUGUGCAUUUGCAUGGACAAAGUACAGCUCUUGCGAUGAAUAGGCCCCGAGUUUGGGCUUUCUGAAGGAAAUUAGGAAGUUAUUACUCGGGUUUGCUUGUAAUUUGAGUACAGUUUUAUGUCCUGGAUCAGCCCGUGAAGCAGAUUUGACUGCGAUGCAAUGAUCUGAAGGGCUGUAAAACUUGAAAGCUUGGUUUACAAUCGUUUAUUUUUCGUGCUUUUAUCUGAUGUGCAAUAAAUUCCUAGCUUUGCAUCAAGUGCUGCUCCACGACUUCUCCCAGUCAUUACCUGGAAGCUGCAUCCUUCAUUAAUCCCAUGCAUGGCAACGAGACGUCUGCUCACGGCUUCCCCCAGCGUGCCUUCCUGAUGUGCUGCUGCAGCAGGAGAGAAAGUUUUGGUGGCGCUGACGCUGGGAGGUGACAGGAGAAGAGGUGUGCUCAGCCUUUUGCACUGCACGGGAUGCAUCUGUGUGUGCACGGGGGGGCACACGGGUUGGUCAGCACAGUGUGUGUGCCCAGUGCAUUUUUCCACGCCACGCUGACGUGGAGCCUCCUCACCUCCAUCCACAUCCAUCUGUUGUUCCCCUCCGUCAGCGACUUUGCGAGAUGAUUGAUCUCAGGCUUAGGUCAUUUUUCAAGUUGCAGAUCUUGUCAAUCUGUCUGGCUCCACCUACAUGCAGUGAUUCAGCUCCUGAUGUGCUGAAAUAUUCCCCUAAGCCUUCCCACACACCACCGAGGGCUUUUUUUAUAGUCCUUCUCCAGGCUGCACCACCUCUCCCGCGCUGUGCUCAAAGCGUGUGUUCUUUGCAUGAUGUUUGCAUGAUUCCUUUUGCUCGGAGAGCAGUGCAGAAAGUCGAGUUAGAGCUCCUGAAGAGUUAGGAGAGCCACUGCAAAACACGCUCCCCACCUAAAGGCUGGAUCCCGUGUAUCACAUUUGGCUAAUGUGCUGUGAUUAAAGGAACUGGAGACAAGCGUGGGGCUUUCCCCCCCUCCCCGCCCCGUCCCUGUACCUUCAGGUAUUCUCUCUUUAGGACUUGGUCUUUGUAACAGUUAAUAUUCUCGGUAGGGUGUUGCAAGUUCUGCAUUUGCACACUUGACCUGAAAUAGAAGUGGCUGUCACAGAAUUAUGGAGGGAGUUACACUCGCGUGGCUACGGUGGUAAUAAUAACUUUGCUGUAGUUAUAUUGAUCUAUUUCCACAUCCAGAAAACGGCUUAAUGUGCUCUUACACCUCUGCUUUGCCUUCAGUACAGCGUUCUUAACUCCCUGCCUGUGUGCAGGGGGUGGCUUUGGGUGACAGCCAUGCUCUGAGGAUGCUCAGCUGAGGACGGUGCCAGCACAGUGCUGAGCCCUCUUUGCACAGCGACUGCAGACAGCAGAGGGCUGUGCUGGAGGCACAGCUGAGAGGUGUGAGACCCACAGCAGCUCUUGGGGGCAGCUCCCCAACUUGGGGCUGCUUGGCAAAUGGCUGCAGAGCAGCAGCAGAGGGAAUUGGGAGCGAGCCCUGAUAGGAAAUGGGGAAGCCGUAAGCAAGCAUUGUGCAGGUGGGCUUGGAAGCAGCAGUGCCAGCCUUCUCCUUUCAGUUGUGUUCGGGGAAGUUGGAUCUUAGAAUCACAGCAUCAUUAGGACUGGAAAAGACCUCUAAGAUGACCAAACCCACCCCACAGUGCCCACCGACUGCCCCCGGGUGCCACUCCUCCACUGUUCUUCAUUGUGGCGAUGGAGUUUUUGGUAGGCAAGUGGAGUUGUGCUAAAGAAUGCGUCUAAUUUAUGUAAUCCGUGUUCUGUUAAUGAAGCCGAGUGUUUUAAGGACUUGCUAAUUACACAGGUUAAAAAAGGAGGUAACUUAGGGUCACGAGUGAAAUUAAGAAGCGAAGGAAAGAAGAAAAAGCCUGAGCUGCCUGUGCUGAAAAUGGAACAGAGCACAGGCAUAACAUCUAGAAACCAGAUUUGCCGAAAGAAAAGCUUGAAAUAAGAGCUGGCACUUCCCUGGGUGUUGUGGGACGUGACGCAGUGACUUCCCAAAAGGGCUGAGAGCGCAGCGUGGGCAAAAGUGACAGCGUUUGGAGCUGCUGUUGCAGUUGCUGGGGUGACUUCGGGAGCCCAUGCACAGCAUUCCUUAUGGAGCUUCGGGAUGGCAUCGGCUCAGGCUGCACAGAGCCACAAAGGAUGGGGAGGACCUCAGAGAGCACCAACCCACCCCACUGUGUCCCCACGGGCCACAUCUGCACUGUUCUUGGCCGCCUCUGGGAGUUUUUGGGGGGGCUUUUUUAUGCCUAUCUGGAAAUAGGAGAAGCGGGGAAUGGAGAGGUUGCACCGUUCCGUUGCAAGUAAUGGAAAAGCCACUAUUUUUAGUGGUUGGAUGGGGGUGAUUCAGCUCACCGAACGAAAUAUUCG
rnacentral:lncRNA from 1 species